GGUCAAGUUAUUAAGGGUGCAGGGCGGAUGCCUUGGCACUAGGAGCCGAUGAAGGACGUGAUAAGCUGCGAUAAGCUUCGGGGAGUUGCACGUAAACUUUGAUCCGAAGAUUUCCGAAUGAGGAAACUCACUUAGAGUAAUGUCUAAGUAUCAUUAAGUGAAUACAUAGCUUAAUGAGGGGAACUCAGGGAACUGAAACAUCUAAGUACCUGAAGGAAGAGAAAGAAAUUCGAUUCCGUAAGUAGCGGCGAGCGAACGCGGAUUAGCCCAAACCAAUAAAGUUUUCUUUAUUGGGGUUGCGGACAUAUCAUAACGAAGAGGUAUCGUAAUUGAAGAGGUUUGGAAAGACCCACCACAGAAGGUAAUAGUCCUGUAUGUUAAACGAGAAGACUUCAGAUAUGAUCCAGAGUACCACGGGACACGUGAAACCCUGUGGGAAGCAGGAGGGACCACCCUCCAAGGCUAAAUACUACCUAGUGACCGAUAGCGUAUAGUACCGUGAGGGAAAGGUGAAAAGAACCCCGGGAGGGGAGUGAAAUAGAACCUGAAACCCUGCACUUACAAGCUGUGGAAGCACAUUUCUUGUGUGACCGCGUACUUUUUGUAGAACGGGCCAACGAGUUACGUUAAGUAG
rnacentral:rRNA from 1 species